GGUUUGUGGUUCAGUGGUAGAGCGCUUGCCUUGAAUGUUUGAGGCACUGGGUUCAAUUCUCAGCACCA
rnacentral:tRNA from 1 species